UACCUACGGGGGGCAGCAGUCGGGAAUAUUGCGCAAUGGAGGAAACUCUGACGCAGUGACGCCGCGUAUAGGAAGAAGGUUUUCGGAUUGUAAACUAUUGUCGAUAGGGAAGAAAAAAGACUGUACCUAUCAAGAAAGCUCCGGCUGACUACGUGCCAGCAGCCGCGGUAAUACGUAGGGAGCGAGCGUUGUCCGGAUUUACUGGGUGUAAAGGGUGCGUAGGCGGGUAAGCAAGUCAGAAGUGAAAUCCAUGGGCUUAACCCAUGAACUGCUUUUGAAACUGUUUUUCUUGAGUGAAGUAGAGG
rnacentral:rRNA from 1 species